GAUGAACGCUGGCGGCGUGCCUAACACAUGCAAGUCGAACGAAACACUUUUAGAAAAUUUUCGAAGUUUCCUAAAGGUGUUUAGUGGCAGACGGCUGAGUAAUACAUUGGUACCUACCCCAAAGUGGGGGAUAGCUCAUCGAAAGAUGGGGUAAUCCCGCAUGUGACCCUCGGGUUAAAGCUUUCGCGCUUUGGGAAGGGACUUUGUCCUAUCAGAUUGUUGGUGAGGUAAUGGCUCACCAAGUCUAUGACGGGUAGCUGGAUCGAGAGGUUGACCAGCCAGACUGGGACUGAGACACGGCCCAGACUCCUACGGGAGGCAGCAGUGGGGAAUUUUGGACAAUGGGCGCAAGCCUGAUCCAGCAAUGCCGCGUGCAGGAUGAAGGCCUUCGGGUUGUAAACUGCUUUUGUACGGAACGAAAAGCCCCGGGUUAAUACCCUGGGGUCAUGACGGUACCGUAAGAAUAAGCACCGGCUAACUACGUGCCAGCAGCCGCAGUAA
rnacentral:rRNA from 1 species